rnacentral:rRNA from 1 species
UACGAAGGGGGCUAGCGUUGCUCGGAAUUACUGGGCGUAAAGGGCGCGUGGCGGCACUGUUAGUCAGGCGUGAAAUUCCUGGGCUCAACCUGGGGACUGCGCUUGAUACGGCAGAGCUUGAGGAUGGAAGAGGGUCGCGGAAUUCCCAGUGUAGAGGUGAAAUUCGUAGAUAUUGGGAAGAACACCGGUGGCGAAGGCGGCGACCUGGUCCAUUACUGACGCUGAGGCGCGACAGCGUGGGGAGCAAACAGG